rnacentral:rRNA from 1 species
AUUGAACGCUGGCGGCAGGCCUAACACAUGCAAGUCGAACGAGUGGCGGACGGGUGAGUAAUGUCUGGGAAACUGCCCGAUGGAGGGGGAUAACUACUGGAAACGGUAGCUAAUACCGCAUACCAUCGGAUGUGCCCAGAUGGGAUGAGCUUGUAGGUGAGGUAACGGCGCACCUAGGCGCCGAUCCCUAGCUGGCAUGAGAGGAUGACCAGCCAUAUGGGAAUGUAGACACGGUCCAGCCUCCUACGUGAGGCAGCAUGGUGGAAUAUUGCAAAAUGGGCGCAAGCCUGAUGCAGCCAUUGCGCGUGUAUGAAGAAGGCCGUCGGGUUGUAAAGUACUUUCAGCGGGGAGGCGUUACCCGAAGAAUAAUCACCUGCUAACUCCGUGCCAGCAGCCGCGGUAAUAC